GUCUCUGUAAUUUAACUAAAAUACUGGUCUUGUAAACCAGAAAAGGAACCUCUCUCUGAGACA
rnacentral:tRNA from 1 species